UUUCUCCUACGGGGCGCAGCAGUGGGGGAUAUUGCACAAUGGGGGAAACCCUGAUGCAGCGACGCCGCGUGAGCGAUGAAGUAUUUCGGUAUGUAAAGCUCUAUCAGCAGGGAAGAAAAUGACGGUACCUGACUAAGAAGCCCCGGCUAACUACGUGCCAGCAGCCGCGGUAAUACGUAGGAUGCGAGCGUUAUCCGGAUUUAUUGGGUUUAAAGGGUGCGCAGGCGGCCUGUUAAGUCAGCGGUAAAAGCCCGGGGCUCAACCCCGGCGAGCCGUUGAAACUGGCGGGCUGGGGUUGGAGAGAG
rnacentral:rRNA from 1 species